rnacentral:rRNA from 1 species
AUGGAGGCGACAUCACGGACGGCUGGAGCUGCGAGUAGAUUUGUCCAAGAUACAACAGUGUUCGUAGUCAUAGUUCUGGUAACUGUCUGCGAUCUCCAUAUGUUAACUGUUUGCGAAGACGGAAAUGCAAAUUCAAAAGAUAUACGGAUGAUUAUAUGGGUGCGUGGCAAGUAUACUGCAAUGAUGAUGAUGAUGUUCCCGGUUCACAAUGAAGACGAUGAUGGCUGUUCUCAGUUUUAG